rnacentral:rRNA from 1 species
GACGAACGCUGGCGGCGUGCUUAACACAUGCAAGUCGAACGGAAAGGCCCUGCUUUUGUGGGGUGCUCGAGUGGCGAACGGGUGAGUAACACGUGAGUAACCUGCCUUUGACUUUGGGAUAACUUCAGGAAACUGGGGCUAAUACCGGAUAGGAGCUCCUGCUGCAUGGUGGGGGUGGGAAAGUUUCGGCGGUUGGGGAUGGACUUGCGGCUUAUCAGCUUGUUGGUGGGGUAGUGGCUUACCAAGGCUUUGACGGGUAGCCGGCCUGAGAGGGUGACCGGCCACAUUGGGACUGAGAUACGGCCCGGACUCCUACGGGAGGCAGCAGUGGGGAAUAUUGCACAAUGGGCGGAAGCCUGAUGCAGCAACGCCGCGUGCGGGAUGACGGCCUUCGGGUUGUAAACCGCUUUCGCCUGUGACGAAGCGUGAGUGACGGUAAUGGGUAAAGAAGCACCGGCUAACUACGUG